AGAUUGGCGACCAGCGAGAGAGAGAGAGAGAGAUAGAUAGAGAGAAAGCCAUUGUCGUGAGAAGAUGUUCGAUUGUGAUAUCAUAAGAUAAACUUGGAUUAUCAUUCAUGGAAAAGAAAAGUGAGAAAACAGUUAUAACAUGACCUUUUUAUUGUAACGUUUGGUUCAUAUGUAGCUAAAACUUGAUGGUGAGGUUUCUGGUAUUAUUGUCUUGAGGUUUAAUGGUAGGAUAUAGAUUUAAACGGAUUUUUAGAAGAAAGCUUCUUCAACUUGUUCGAGAAGAUUUCUUCUAAAGUUUCAGAUCUAACAAGCAAAGUGGAGACAUGAAUAUCCAAACGUACUCGGAAUAAUCUGAAAUUUGGUAAGAGUAUUCUGGAGACGUGGAAUGAACUUUUGGUAGAUAGGCGUCAAAUUUCGAGUUCAGAAGGUCAAAUGAACGACGUUGUUUCGGAAGAAGAUAGAGAGGAUGAGGAAGAAAGUGAGGAAGAGGAAGAGGAAGAGUAUAACGAAGAAGCGGAAAGUAACGGUGACGACGGCCAUGAAAAAUUGACAAUGUAGAUGACGAGAAUGAAUAUGAAGAGUAAGAAACGAUGAAUGUGAAGAGAAAACGAAGACAUAGGUGUUGGCGGCCAAUUGAAUAUGAGAAAAUAAGAUUGAUUCAUGAUUCUUUUGAUAAGAUUUUAUUCUUAAACACUAUUGAUUUUUAUAAUUGUGCAUUUGAACU